CAAGCUAUAUACCUCCUAUAUUAGUCAGGGUUCUCCAGAGAAACAGAACUAGUAGGAUGCAUAUAUGUAUAGGAAUGUACAUGUUCAGAAGUUCCAAAGGCCUCUCUUAACUUUGUUCUGUUUUUCUUUUAGGUCAAGCUGACAUGGUGUUUUUUAAAACUAUGGGCCUCCUUCUCAUCAAUUCACUGUCCACUAUUAGAUAAAAAACAUGCCAACACAUGAUAAUUUUCAAGAUAGUCCCUCUCUUCCUUGGGUUCCCUGGGCUGGAAAGCAAUUUUCUGCUCGUCAAUGAGGAAAGCACUCUUGACCUUGGCACAGACACAUUUAGCACACAUGGAACCACCAAGCGCCCUGCUGACGUGUUUUUUCAGACAACCUCAGGAGACCUUUAGAUCUCACAGCAUGAACUCCACUAAGUUGGCCUGGGCACAGGCCACAUGAGGAUUUUGAUGCCUUCAGAACCUUCUUGGUAUAAAGGUAAAUAAUUCUAUUCCUAGGGAUUCAAGACAGCCUGCUUUGUUUUGUUUUGUUUUUCUUACAGAAAGAACAAGAAUUUUCUAUUUUCCUCCCAUAAAUCCAAAACUAACAAAAAAUCCAACACUUAGACUCUAAAUUCUAGUGGAAGAUGACCUCUGACUGCAACAUUAAGUUCUCCUUGAAAUCAUCUUUCUCAGCUGUCCACUGCCUUGUGCUGUCUGCCCACACUUGUCCUGAGGCCAGCUGGCCAGAGCAUCCCAGCUGAUGU
rnacentral:lncRNA from 1 species